UCCAAAAAUAAAAAGGUAAUACCCUUGGGGAAACCUAUACUCUUUGACGGCCUUUUUUCUUAUCAAAGGAACUUGUUCAUUAAUCGAAAUUACACGCUAAUUUUCCCUCUCUCUUAAAGUUUUUAUACCGUCGUCUUAAGAAUAUAUUACAAAAUAAAUUCUAAAUUAAUCAACUAAAUAAGUCAGAUCAAGGUAAAGCCCAUGAGAAAGAAAACAAUGAGUUAUCUAUAAAAAUAAUUUAUAAAUUUUUAUUUCAAAAAACAAAUGAAUUAAGAUUUGAGAGUACUGUUAAAUUAACAAUUUAUAAAGAGCAAGUAAAAAAAGGUGC
rnacentral:rRNA from 1 species